rnacentral:rRNA from 1 species
CCUACGGGUGGCAGCAGUGAGGAAUAUUGGUCAAUGGACGAGAGUCUGAACCAGCCAAGUAGCGUGAAGGAUGACUGCCCUAUGGGUUGUAAACUUCUUUUAUAAAGGAAUAAAACGAGGCACGUGUGCCUUUUUGCAUGUACUUUAUGAAUAAGGAUCGGCUAACUCCGUGCCAGCAGCCGCGGUAAUACGGAGGAUCCGAGCGUUAUCCGGAUUUAUUGGGUUUAAAGGGAGCGUAGAUGGGUUGUUAAGUCAGUUGUGAAAGUUUGCGGCUCAACCGUAAAAUUGCAAUUGAUACUGGCAGUCGUGAGUACAGUUGAGGUAGGCGGAAUGCGUGGUGUAGCGGUGAAAUGCUUAGAUAUCACGAAGAACCCCGAUUGCGAAGGCAGCUUACUAAGCUGUGACUGACAUUGAUGCUCGAAAGUGUGGGUAUCAAACAGGAUUAGAUACCCUAGUAGUC